rnacentral:rRNA from 1 species
UACAGAGGGUGCGAGCGUCGUCCGGAAUCACUGGGCGUAAAGGGUGCGUAGGUGGGCAGGUAAGUCAGUGGUGAAAUCUCUGGGCUUAACCCAGAAACUGCCGUUGAUACUAUCUGUCUUGAAUGUAGUGGAGGUGAGCGGAAUAUGUCAUGUAGCGGUGAAAUGCUUAGAUAUGACAUAGAACACCGAUUGCGAAGGCAGCUCGCUACACUACUAUUGACACUGAGGCACAAAAGCGUGGGGAUCAAACAGG